CUCCUCCUUGGUCCUUAGUGUUGCUCCAUUUCGGAUUGGGCCUAACUUUUAAAAGCCAAAGUCCUUACCUUGAAUGCUUGGAUGUACUCUUGAAAUGGUAGAUUAAAGCCAAUGUAUAUUCUUGUGUCAUACAUUUAUACCUAUUAUGUACAAUAACAUCGGGAAAGGGAAAUUGAACCUUGUUUAAUUGAAUUCAAUUCACUUCUCAUAGUGAAGAAAUAUUUAAGUAGCGACCCAGCUGGUUAUAAAUUGAAAUCAUAUUUUUAUGUGAGAUAGUCAGGUCCUACAAUAAACGUUAUCACAGAGCAUUCUUAUCAGGCAGUCUUGGGUAAUUUGGCCUGAACCUGCUUCACUGCCGCCUCACCUCUGAAUCGAUAACCUACACCCCUGCCUUUGAAAUCUUCCUUGAUAGUUUUACAUAAAAAUCUUGGGGACAAGCUGCCUCCGAUAAGUGUGCCUUCACAUUCUCCUUAUGUCUCAGAGUCCAGCUAGUCUCGCAGUAACACAGAGCAGUGCACUUGCAUACUACCACUGAUUGAGCUGAACAGGACUCGAUUAUUCUGCCUACAGUCCUGCAGAGUUUGCUUGUAAUAAAGAUAGGACAUUACUGCAGUAUGUGCGUGAGAUGAGACAUUGUUUUAUUUGACCUCAGGGCUUUUUUCUAAUGUUUUUGCCUAGUGUCAAAGAUCUGUUUCUGAGUUUGCCUCUGGUAAAUUAUCAUUUAAGAAAACUAUAUCAAUUUUAUUUUUACGGAAUUGUAACCUAUAUUUAUGUCUUUUGUAAACAUAUACAGUUAUGGAAUUUGUGAACCACGGUACGAUGCUUAAUACAACAUUUCAUCAACACAAAUAAGUAAUUGUUAUACUACAGUAAUGGGAACUAUUUUUGGAGAGCUUUGAAUGGUUCUGAGGAAACUUUCACCCUCUGGCCUUGAAUGUUUUGGGGUGAUGGUGUCCGUGCGGUUAAGUGCAGACAGUGAUGUGGACCCCGCAGCCCUCUUACCAAAGGCCCAGGUUCACUUGAGACUUUUUACACAGCCACAACAGCAUGGACCUAACAGCAGCCACAGACACAAGACAACUGUGGGGAAACAUGGAGAAGAAAAUGCAGGGUUGUGUUUGUGAAGAACUUGCUACUUUGUUUUACAAGAGAGUAUGCAAUGUGAGUCAAUGGUGUUUUUAAUGUUACUUUCUGUGUUCUUGCAAUUGAGUUAUGGCCUUUUACAUGCUGUCAGUUCAGCGGUUCCAUUAAAACAAAG
ensembl:lncRNA